AUUGAACGCUGGCGGCAUGCUUUACACAUGCAAGUCGAACGGUAACAGGGUGCUUGCACCGCUGACGAGUGGCGAACGGGUGAGUAAUGCGUCGGAACGUGCCGAGUAGUGGGGGAUAACGCAGCGAAAGUUGUGCUAAUACCGCAUACGUACUGAGGUAGAAAGUGGGGGACCUUCGGGCCUCACGCUAUUCGAGCGGCCGACGUCUGAUUAGCUAGUAGGUGAGGUAAAGGCUCACCUAGGCGACGAUCAGUAGCGGGUCUGAGAGGAUGGUCCGCCAAACUGGGACUGGGACACGGCCCAGACUCCUACGGGAGGCAGCAGUGGGGAAUUUUGGACAAUGGGCGAAAGCCUGAUCCAGCCAUGCCGCGUGUCUGAAGAAGGCCUUCGGGUUGUAAAGGACUUUUGUCAGGGAGGAAAUCCCUAGUGCUAAUAACACUGGGGGAUGACAGUACCUGAAGAAUAAGCACCGGCUAACUACGUGCCAGCCGCCGCGGUAA
rnacentral:rRNA from 1 species